AGUGAACGCUGGCGGUAGGCCUAACACAUGCAAGUCGAACGGCAGCACAGUAAGAGCUUGCUCUUACGGGUGGCGAGUGGCGGACGGGUGAGGAAUACAUCGGAAUCUACUUUUUCGUGGGGGAUAACGUAGGGAAACUUACGCUAAUACCGCAUACGACCUACGGGUGAAAGCAGGGGAUCUUCGGACCUUGCGCGAUUGAAUGAGCCGAUGCCGGAUUAGCUAGUUGGCGGGGUAAAGGCCCACCAAGGCGACGAUCCGUAGCUGCUCUGAGAGGAUGAUCAGCCACACUGGAACUGGGACACGGUCCAGACUCCUACGGGCGGCAGCAGUUGGGAAUAUUGGACAAUGUGCGCAAGCCUGAUCCAGCCAUACCGCGUGGGUGAAGAAGGCCUUCGGGUUGUAAAGCCCUUUUGUUGGGAAAGAAAAGCAGCAGGUUAAUACCCCGCUGUUCUGACGGUACCCAAAGAAUAAGCACCGGCUAACUUCGUG
rnacentral:rRNA from 1 species